GAUGAACGCUGGCGGCGUGCUUAACACAUGCAAGUCGAACGAUUAAAGCCCCUUCGGGGGUGUAUAGAGUGGCGAACGGGUGAGUAACACGUGGGCAACCUGCCCUUCACUUCGGGAUAACUCAGGGAAACCUGAGCUAAUACCGGAUACUUCGGGAUGGUCGCAUGGCCGACCCGGGAAAGCUCCGGCGGUGAGGGAUGGGCCCGCGGCCCAUUAGCUUGUUGGUGAGGUAAUGGCUCACCAAGGCAACGAUGGGUAGCCGAGCUGAGAGGCUGAUCGGCCACACUGGGACUGAGACACGGCCCAGACUCCUACGGGAGGCAGCAGUGGGGAAUCUUGCGCAAUGGGCGAAAGCCUGACGCAGCAACGCCGCGUGCGGGAUGAAGGCCUUCGGGUUGUAAACCGCUUUCAGCAGGGAUGAAACUGACAGUACCUGCAGAAGAAGCCCCGGCUAACUACGUGCCAGCAGCCGCCGCAGUAA
rnacentral:rRNA from 1 species